AACAUCGCGCACCUGCGGGAACCUGCGGAAGGAUCAUUAACAAUGCUUCAAAAAGCAAUUCACCCAUUGUGCACAUGUUUCCCGUCAAUUUGGCAGGCUUCGGUUCAUAUGCGAGGGGAGGAUUCUUCUAUUGAAGAAUCCCCCCCCUCAAAGCUGCACCGACCCUUAUCUUGGGCAGGCGGAAAAAUUUGAAAAUUUUUCUAAACCCCCCCAGAAUAGAGGCGGCCUGCCAAAAUUUUU
rnacentral:misc_RNA from 1 species